rnacentral:rRNA from 1 species
ACCCGAAGGCGCAACGAAAGUGAACCGAAUCUUACGACUCGGUAGGUGGGAUCCAGUCGCGCGUCCCCGCUUGACCGCGGGCUCGUGCCGGCGGGCGCACCACCGGCCUGUCUCGGCCGCGACGUCGGCGAGGCGGAGCAAGAGCGUACGCGUUGGGACCCGAAAGAUGGUGAACUAUGCCUGAGCAGGAUGAAGCCAGAAGAAAUUCUGGUGGAGGUCCGUAGCGAUUCUGACGUGCAAAUCGAUCGUCAAACUUGGGUAUAGGGGCGAAAGACUAAUCGAACCAUCUAGUAGCUGUUCCUUCCGAA